rnacentral:lncRNA from 1 species
GAGAAACAGGCGCUUCUUUUGCGCAAGGUAUCGAAGGGCGCUAUGUUCAAAAAUCUGAAACUAGAGCUCAAAAUUUGAAAAAAAUUGGUAAAAAAAUAGGGGGGUCGGCCUAUUCCAGGGCUCCUAGAGAAAAAUAAUGAGGGGUGUCACGGGGUAUGACUAUAUAGGUCUUGUAGAGGAGAAACAGGCGCUUCUUUUGCGCAAGGUAUUAAAGG